rnacentral:rRNA from 1 species
UUGAACGCUGGCGGCACGCCUAACACAUGCAAGUCGAGCGGUAGCAUGAUCUGUAGCAAUACAGAUUGAUGACGAGCGGCGGACGGGUGAGGAACACGUAGGAAUCUACCCUCAAGCGGGGGACAACCAAGGGAAACUUUGGCUAAUACCGCAUAAUAUCGAAAGAUCAAAGCUGCUCGUAAGGGUGGCACUUGAGGAGGAGCCUGCGUCCGAUUAGCUAGUUGGUGAGGUAAAGGCUCACCAAGGCGAUGAUCGGUAACUGGUCUGAGAGGACGACCAGUCACACUGGGACUGAGACACGGCCCAAGACUCCUACGGGAGGCAGCAGUGGGGAAUAUUGGACAAUGGGGGCAACCCUGAUCAGCGAUGCCGCGUGAGUGAAGAAGGCCUUCGGGUCGUAAAGCUCUUUAGGUUGGGAAGAAGAGUGUUUGAGGAAAUGCGAACACUUUGACGGUACCGACAGAAUAAGCACCGGCAAACUCUGUGCCAGCAGCCGCGGUAAUACAGAGGGUGCGAGCGUUAAUCGGAGUUACUGGGCGUAAAGGGUGCGUAGGCGGUAUAGUGUGUGUGAUGUGAAAGCCCGGCUAACCUGGGAAGGGCAUCGCAAACUACUAAACUAGAGUAGAUGAGAGGGUGAUGGAAUUUCCGGUGUAGCGGUGAAAUGCGUAGAGAUCGGAAGGAACGUCAAUGGCGAAGGCAGUCACCUGGCUCAUACUGACGCUGAGGCACGAAAGCGUGGGAAGCGAACAGGAUUAGAUACCCUGGUAGUCCACGCUGUAAACGAUGAGAACUAGAUGUUGGUUGGGGAACCAAUCGGUAUCGAAGCUAACGCGAUAAGUUCUCCGCCUGGGAAGUACGGCCGCAAGGUGUAAACUCAAAUGAAUUGACGGGGGCCGCACAAGCGGUGGAGCAUGUGGUUUAAUUCGAUGCAACGCGAAGAACCUUACCUACCCUUGACAUGUAGGUGGUAGAAGGAUGAAAGUCUGACGAUUCCGCAAGGAAAGCUUACACAGGUGCUGCAUGGCUGUCGUCAGCUCGUGUCGUGAGGUGUUGGGUUAAGUCCCGCAACGAGCGCAACCCCUGCGUCCUGUUGCCACCCGAUCGAGAGAUCGGAGCACUCUGGACGGACUGCCUCGCUUCAACGAGGAGGAAGGUGGGGAUGACGUCAAGUCAGUAUGGCCUUACGGCCAGGGCUGCACACGUACUACAAUGCCGGCACAAAGGGAAGCAAGACCGUCAGGUGGAGCAAAUCCCCAAAAACCGGGCCCAGUUCAGAUUGUCGUCUGCAACUCGACGGCAUGAAGCUGGAAUCGCUAGUAAUGGCGCAUCAGCUACGGCGCCGUGAAUACGUUCCCAGGCCUUGUACACACCGCCCGUCACAUCAUGAAAGCCGUUUGUACCCGAAGUCGCCCCUCAAAAGGUGCCGAAGGUAUGGAUGGUGAUUGGGAUUGAAGUCGUACA